AUUUCUAAAUUGCAGACCACAAGAAAUCAUUUUCUUGAUAUAUUUUGUUGGCUUCAAUAUUCAAAUGUUGUGCUUUAUUGGAUGGUCUAAUAGAUUUUUAUUAGAGCAUGCUUGCUUCAGCGGGUUGCCAUGGAACAUGGACUGAUACUGGUGGACAUAAAGUAUGAGUUUGGAAGAAGUAGUGAUGGCUCAAUCUUAUUGAUUGAUGAGAUUCAUAUACCCGAUUCCAGCAGAUACUGUCUUGCAGGUUCAUAUGAAGUGCUAAAAUGUUGAUAAGGAGUUCCAAAGAGAACUGCAAUCCAUACGAGAACGAGAUAUGCUUACAUCGGUAGUCUUGGUAUCUCGAUUCUUAAUUGUAUAAAAUAAGCAAUUAAAAUCAGAAACUUGCUUCACUACGGCGGCCGAGACGCCGCUGUGGAUGUUGCAGGGGUUGUGAAGGAAGGGGUUUUGAUUAGAACAUUCAUGGAAUCGUCUUCUUCACGUGAAGAAGAGUCAUCUGAAGCUUCUCCAGCUUGUAUUUUAAUCGCCUCUUUAAUACUCAAGCUUCAUAGUUCAUCAUCACGUGCACGGGCUUAUGAUGUUAUAUUGUUAGUUAUUCUUCAUCUGGUUAAUAUUUCUAUGCUCAAUGAUUUUAUUUUUAUUUUUUACGUGUAAUAUUUUAUUAUACAUAACCAAAACCAUACAUGGACUAUACUAAAAGCUCCACAAAAAGUUUACAUAAAUAUUUGAGGCCCAACAAGAGUCUAUCAGAUUACUGGUUA